rnacentral:rRNA from 1 species
CUAUGAGAUGAGCCUGCGUCAGAUUAGCUAGUUGGGUGGGGUAAAGGACCUACCAAGGACGAUGAUCUGUAGCGUGGUCUGAGAGGACGACCAGCCACACUGGGACUGAGACACGGCCCAGACUCCUACGGGAGGCAGCAGUGGGGAAUAUUGGACAAUGGGCGCAAGCCUGAUCCAGCAAUGCCGCGUGUGUGAAGAAGGCCUGCGGGUUGUAAAGCACUUUCAGUGGGGAGGAAGGCCUCAAUGCUAAUAGUAUUGAGGAUUGACGUUACCCACAGAAGAAGCACCGGCUAACUCUGUGCCAGCAGCCGCGGUAAUACAGAGGGUGCAAGCGUUAAUCGGAAUUACUGGGCGUAAAGGGUGCGUAGGUGGUUUUUUAAGUCAGAUGUGAAAAUCCCUGGGCUCAACCUAGGAAUUGCAUUUGAUACUGAAUAACUUGAGUAUGGUAGAGGGA